ACUAAAGAAACUUUUUAGCCCCACACUAAUAGAAACAAAUAAUAGGAAAGAAAAAAAAUUUCACUUGUGCUCUAGCCCAACUAAAAAUCUAUUUCAAUCUGAAUUCCACUUUGGGCAAAUUAAACAAGCAUGCACUUAAUCAUUGAUUCUUUUAAUAAUGUUAUGCUAACAUAUGUCUCACGAAUUUCUAAAGGAGGAUCCGCUUUCUGAGUAGUAAAAGAAGUAGUCAGUGACUCAUCGCGAAUCUCAUCUAACACUUGAAUCACACAGUUCAUCUAUUUUGCGAACGACAGCGAAUUCAGCAAGACGACUCUUAUUUUUAUUUAUUUAUUAAAUUUUGUAAAUAAACUACGAAUCUCAUCUGACACUUGAAUCACACAAU
rnacentral:lncRNA from 1 species